UACGUAGGGUGCGAGCGUUGUCCGGAAUUACUGGGCGUAAAGAGCUCGUAGGUGGUUUGUCGCGUUGUUCGUGAAAACUCACAGCUUAACUGUGGGCGUGCGGGCGAUACGGGCAGACUGGAGUACUGCAGGGGAGACUGGAAUUCCUGGUGUAGCGGUGGAAUGCGCAGAUAUCAGGAGGAACACCGGUGGCGAAGGCGGGUCUCUGGGCCUGUACUGACGCUGAGGCGCGAAAGCCAGGGGAGCAAACGGG
rnacentral:rRNA from 1 species